CUUGAGAAUUGACUGAUUACUUAGUAAGUACGGGAGUCUCGGUAUCGAUCGAUAGCCAGUUUUCAAUGAACAGUUAUUCUCAGUUAAACCAUGAUAGGUAAUUUAUUUGGUAUUUUAUGUCAACAAGGUCCACUCUCUAUCCCUAUUAGCUCGUAAUCUACAUCUACACUAAUAUUAUAAAGAGGAAAACUUUGUUUGUUUGGUUGUAACGAAUAGGCUCAAAAACUACUGGACCGAUUUUAAAAAUUCUUUCACCAUUCGAAAGCUACAUUAUCCACGAGUAACAUAGGCUAUAUUUUAUUUUGGAAAAAAAUAGGGUUCCGUGAGAUAUUUGGAUUUUUCGGACACAAACUGAACAAAAUCAACCAAAGAAGUUACUUAUUUUGCGUACGCUGCCUAAACUACAAAAGAUAGAACCAUAAAAUGUUAUAAUUAAUUGUAGAUCUUAUAAAUAUCUACAAAAAAGUCCGCGACACACUAUACCUAUCUAUGUCGAGUGAGGCACAACAACCACAUUUUUAUUUAAAAAUCUUGAAUUUUUUUGGACUACAUUUAAACGCGUUUAUUUUACUCAUGCUAUUAAUCCUUAUCAAAAUAAAUUAUUUCAUCAAUAAGUACAGUUUAAGUUGGUAAUAUUUGGUCUUUGAAUGAUUAAAAUUGGACGUUUGGUUUUGAAGUUGUGGUCAAAUUAAAAUAAUAGGAUUUCUGCCGCACGGCCCGUUGCGAAGUGGACGUCGCCAAGGCCAGGAGGGCGUGUGCGGGACCAGUAAACCGAACAUUUUAAUGAAAGGAGAAUGGCAGAAUUCGUACAGCAUACUUUUUUUGGUGUUCCCUGAUAAAAUUUGUACCACUUAUUGAGGCAACUAAACCAUUCAUUUUUCUGUAAAAAUAAUAUUUUUAGAAGCUGGGGUUUAGCAAAUAUAUCAAUUAAAAGAUUUUAGUAACGAAACGUAAUAUAAUGAAACAAAACGUAGAAGACAUGUUUAGUUAGUUGCCAUUAAUAAAAUAUCAGAAAGCACGAAAUGAUAAAUAAAUAUUUUGAAAUAGAAAUAACAGUAAAUAUAAUUAACCAAUUACAGGUUAUACCUUAGAAUAUAUAAUUAAUGCAUAUAUAUGCAUAGAAUCUUUAUAUUUAUAGGAAUUAUUUUUGCCAUCAAUAUUUUUUUUUGUAAUGGCAAUUAUUUAUUGACAGGUUUGUAAAAUCCCUAAUCUGUCAAAGUCUGUUUUUCGCCGUUGUUUUGUUUUGGAUUGUAGUUUGUAACUUCAUCUAAACAAUUUAGCAAUUAUCUGGCCAUUUUUACGUUGAGUUGAGCAACUGCUUCUCCGUUCUCUAUCUGUUGAUACUACUUUCGCGAAAGGACGCUUUAUUAAUUGUGUUGUGUGUACGUGUUUUAUUGAAAAUGACGAGUUUGCAAUGCAUCAAUUGCAAUGUUCGCUUGUCCCGAAGAAGAAGACACGCUUUAUCCAAUGACGGUGAAGAUAUCGUCAACACUAUUCGUCUGUGGACAUAUCUUAGAGAUAUUACACCAGAUGACCAUGUUUACCAUGAAUGCUGGCAGCUAGCUAGUCAUUCAUGUUCUUCUGAUAAUAUGCCGAGAAGACACAUAGGCCAUCAGUGUUUGUGUUGUAUGUGGACAACCCAUACUAAGAAUUGGGCAAUGCAGAAUUUUGAUUGAAGAAGAACAAAGAAUGGCGUACACAAUUGCUAAUUGGAUCUAACCACGACAGCUUCAUCCUGAAGAUAAAGCUUGUGUGCGGUGUUGGUUAAGAGUGAGAACUAAGGAUACUUCACUAAAUGAAGAUAUUCAAUCCGUUCAACUUAAUCAGCAGAAAAGUGAUAAUUCUGAACUGAUGUGUGCUGCAUGUGGUCAAAGUCUUACUCCCAACAACACUGCUUGUUUGUUGGAGCACCAGCAGACACCUUCCAUGAAUGAAGUUUGUGAAGUUUGCUGGGGCCAAGUAUGCAAUUUGAGCUUCUAUGUUCCAGAUGGUCUAUGUUGCUUCAAGCUAAAAUAAAGUCCUGCCACUCUUCUCCCAGG